rnacentral:sRNA from 1 species
GGGGGCGCUGGGGUGAUUAGCAUCAUGCAGGGCAUGUGAUUCUGACACCCUCUUCUGUGGUGGGGGUGAUUUUGUAGAAAGGAGUUUCUCCAAUAAAGCAGAGCUUCUCUUUCAACUCCAUGGACAUCAGAGAGAGUCCCUUUCAAAAAAGGAGGCUCAGGUCUGGAGAGACAAAGGCCUCUACUUUCGAAAAGGCCUCUUGGAUCAAGCCCAGCUCUGUCGGAGCAUUCUGAACAAUCACAGUAAGAGAAAUGCAAUGACAGCCAUGCUUCAUCUCCAGCUGUUUCCUGAGAAGAUGACAGACCCUCAUCAGAGCUGACAACAUGUCCAGCCUGCACUACUGCAAGAACUUCUUUGUCUAUGGUAGUGUGGUCAACUGAAGAAGCCGGCUUAGUUGCUCCAGUCAGGUGCUCACACUAAGAAAGGAUGGGUGAAGGUUAUAAAGUGGCUGUGAAUGAGAACUCGGUCUGGGCUCUACCAAGCAGAGAAGCCAUGCAGAGAUGAGAAAGGUGAAAGCCAUGAAACCAUGUUAAGCAGAAAAAUAAAAAUUCAUAACAGAA